UACGAAGGGGGCUAGCGUUGCUCGGAAUCACUGGGCGUAAAGCGCACGUAGGCGGAUUGCUAAGUCAGGGGUGAAAUCCUGGAGCUCAACUCCAGAACUGCCCUUGAUACUGGCGGUCUCGAGUCCGGGAGAGGUGAGUGGAACUGCGAGUGUAGAGGUGAAAUUCGUAGAUAUUCGCAAGAACACCAGUGGCGAAGGCGGCUCACUGGCCCGGUACUGACGCUGAGGUGCG
rnacentral:rRNA from 1 species